rnacentral:lncRNA from 1 species
CAGUUUCCUGACGAGUUAUGUAAUUUGUUUUUUUAUUAGUUUCUAAAAACCCCUUCCGACAUAUCCGAUGUGACAGAAAAAAUUUUUCAUCUCCAAUCUAAACAAGGCCGUAGAUGAUUCCGGGCCAAUACGAAGCGUGAACUGCAGGUCCAUAUACAUAUAGGGCUAUCACUUAAUUAGAGAAAUUAAGCUCUGACACGUAACAAAUUAAAAAAAGUACUAAGUAAUAAUUAAUUAAUUAAAGGCGGUACGGUGAUGAAUAGUAAAAAGGAAAGCGAGGUCACAACUUAGCCUGC